rnacentral:snoRNA from 1 species
AUGUUCAGAUUGGGGCACAUUUUGAAGUAAUUUUUGAAUCUUUCAUAUGCUUCUGGAUAGCUCUCAAGGUCCAUUUGCUUAAAAAUAUGGAAUUCAUUUAUGAUCU